rnacentral:sRNA from 1 species
CUAGCUUAGUGCUCAGGAACACAUCUGUCUGCUCUCAGGUACCAGUUCUUAGAGGAUGCAGUGAGGAACCAGCGCAAGCUCCUGGCCUCACUGGUGAAGCGCCUUGGGGACAAACAUGCAACAUUGCAGAAGAGCACCAAGGAGGUUCGCAGCUCGUAAGUGUGGGUUCUGGGGCUGUGGGGGUGGCCCAGGGCAGCAAGACCCUACCUAUCCUGACCUGCUCUGUCCUCUAGAAUCCGCCAGGUGUCUGACGUACAGAAGCGUGUGCAAGUGGAUGUCAAGAUGGCCAUCCUGCAGAUCAUGAAGGAGCUGAAUAAGCGGGGCCGUGUGCUGGUCAACGAUGCCCAGAAGGUGACUGAGGGGCAGCAGGAGCGCCUGGAGCGGCAGCACUGGACCAUGACCAAGAUCCAGAAGCACCAGGAGCACAUUCUGCGCUUUGCCUCUUGGGCUCUGGAGAGUGACAACAACACAGCCCUUUUGCUUUCUAAGAAGUUGAUCUACUUCCAGCUGCACCGGGCCCUCAAGAUGAUUGUGGAUCCCGUGGAGCCACAUGGCGAGAUGAAGUUUCAGUGGGACCUCAAUGCCUGGACCAAGAGUGCUGAGGCCUUUGGUGGGUCCCCAGCUUUACCUCACUCUGUUAUUACCCCACGUGCUGCACCUACUUACGUUUCUCUCUUCUUUGUGCAGGCAAGAUUGUGGCAGAGCGUCCUGGCACUAACUCAACAGGCCCUG